rnacentral:sRNA from 1 species
UCGGUCAUUCGGCUCCGAGGCAUCCGAGGCGUCCGAGCCGCCGAAUCUCGAUAUCUGCGUUGGGCCGCAGGAACCAGGCACCUCUGCCUCUGCUACCUCUGCCAGGCACUGCAGCUGACUGCAGUGCAAAGUGCUGCAGUGUACAAACAGUACAGAGCUCGGAUGGGUCGAAAGCAGGCUCCCUAUGGCAAGCGAAAGCGUCGGAAGGUUUGGACACGGCCACUCGGUUGGAAGUCCCAGAUUGAGAAUACUUGCCGCAAUCGGCCAUCGGAGACCUCUACCGACAUACGGAAGCACACCCUAACAGAUGCUGUCCACCCAGAUCAGCCGGCUGCCCAGAGACAUGCCCCUGCACUGGAUUGUGGCAGUGGCGUCAACCUCUUCGGUGGGGACGUCCCUACUGCCGGCAGCCCAGGCGACAAAUGGACCUUCCCACCAAAAGUCGCCAAGGGCCUCCAGUUCAAGUGCAGUUUCUGCUACUACAUCACCAAGAACAAGCAUGGAAUGGUCAGCCACCUAAUUCACCAUGCGGAGGGACAACGGCUCGAGUGCCGGCACUGUCCCCAGCUUCCUUCAGGUUGGAGAAGUGCCUGCUCGAAGGACGUCUGCUGCCUACUGGAAACCACAACCAACAAUCUCUUCAAAUGCUGUUUGUGCACCCACUUAGCUGGCGAUCAGCGUGAAAUGCUCAAUCACCUCUUCCUUCGUUGUGAUGAACGACUUAAGUGCCAGCAAUGUUCAAAAUCCUUUUCCAAAGCAGAAGACUUAAGGUAGUACCACACAGAGGUUCACAAGCCAGAAAGAACUUGCAAGUAUCAACUGUGGUAACAGCCUUUCAGAAACAUGGUCAUCUGGUAAAUAACAUUCCCACCAACGAAGGUAAAAAACCUUUCAAAUGCCAGGAAUGCCCCAAAGCGUUUGCUCAAAGUGAUAUUGUACAGCCACAUGCAAACCCACACCGGUGAGCAGCCUUUUCAAGGCCAGGAAUGUCCCAGAGCAUUUUCUCGUCUAAGUAAGAUGAGUUGCGACUUUCGAAGCAACAGAGAUGAGAAGCCCUACAGAUGCCAACUGUGUCCCCAAGCCUUUGCUCGUAGUGGAGGCAGCACAUUCAGACGCACACCGGUGAGAGACCUUGCGAAUGUGAGCAAUGUCCCCUGAACCUAUUUACCAGAGUGGGAAUCUGACAGAGCACAUUCGAAUUUACACAGGUGAGAGACCCAACAAAUGCAAGCAGUGUUCACAAAUCUUUACUGAUGGUGGUGCACUAAAGCAGCAUAUUCGAAGGCACACAGGUGAAAGACCUUGCAUAUGUAAGUGCUGUCCUCAAUGAUUUAGCGCACUUGGCACCCUGACAUAGCACAUUUGAACACACACAGGCAAGAGACCCUACAAAUGUGAGCAAAGUCCCCAAGCCUUUAGUCACCGUGAUUUGCUGACCCGCCAUAUUCGAAUGCACACUGGCGUGAGACCGUACAAAUGCGAGCAACAUUACAAAACCUUUACUCAAAAGGACACCGUGACAUGUCACAUUUGAAAGCACACAGGGGAGAAAACUGUGAGCACCGUCCUGAAGUCUUCACUUGAGCGAGAAGCUGACGGGGUACAUUUGAAUGAACACAGGUGAGAGAUCUUGUAAAUCUGAGCAAUGUCCCAGGGUGCACGUGAGAACCUGUGUAGCACAUUCAGAUGCGUUCUGUAGAAAUGCCGUGUCCUAUAUAUGGUUUGGGUGAACAAGCCUGAGCAGAGCGAUGUGUUUUUUGUUGAAAAAAGAAAGCAGACCGUGAAUAGUUUUUACAGAUAUCAGCAGUCAGUUUUCCUGUUGUCAGCCACAGACGUCCUGACAAGGGCUCACCUGUGUGAGCAGUUCAAACAAACUUUUUUUUUUUUUGCAGUGUUUUUUUUUUUUUUUAGACAUGUGAAGGUGCAUGACGAGCAGAGGUAUAAUUUUAGCAGCUUGGUUGUCUCUCCUCGAAAUGGUCCAAAUAGCAAAUGCCCUUCACUGACUUAAGUCUGAUCCAUAUCAAGGUUAUUCAUCUGAAGGAACUGGGCCUUGUUGGCUUCUGUUAUAUCCAGGCUUUUCUCAUUUGUGUGGAAGGAACUGUUACAUAUAAUAAAUGUUCAUACAAACUCAGUA